UACGUAGGGGGCUAGCGUUGUCCGGAAUCAUUGGGCGUAAAGAGCGUGUAGGCGGCCCGGUAAGUCCGCUGUGAAAGUCGGGGGCUCAACCCUCGAAUGCCGGUGGAUACUGUCGGGCUAGAGUGCGGAAGAGGCGAGUGGAAUUCCUGGUGUAGCGGUGAAAUGCGCAGAUAUCAGGAGGAACACCGAUUGCGAAGGCAGCUCGCUGGGACGUAGCUGACGCUGAGACGCGAAAGCGUGGGGAGCAAACAGG
rnacentral:rRNA from 1 species